GGGGAUUUAGCUCAGCGGCAUAAGCACCUGCCUUGCAAGCAGGUGGUCGUGGGUUCAAUCCCUG
rnacentral:tRNA from 1 species